rnacentral:rRNA from 1 species
CGUAACAAGGUCUCCGUAGGUGAACCUGCGGAGGGAUCAUUACACAAAUAUGAAGGCGGGCUGGAACCUCUCGGGGUUACAGCCUUGCUGAAUUAUUCACCCUUGUCUUUUGCGUACUUCUUGUUUCCUUGGUGGGUUCGCCCACCACUAGGACAAACAUAAACCUUUUGUAAUUGCAAUCAGCGUCAGUAACAAAUUAAUAAUUACAACUCUCAACAACGGAUCUCUUGGUUCUGGCAUCGAUGAAGAACGCAGCGAAAUGCGAUAAGUAGUGUGAAUUGCAGAAUUCAGUGAAUCAUCGAAUCUUUGAACGCACAUUGCGCCCUUUGGUAUUCCAAAGGGCAUGCCUGUUCGAGCGUCAUUUGUACCCUCAAGCUUUGCUUGGUGUUGGGCGUCUUGUCUCUAGCUUUGCUGGAGACUCGCCUUAAAGUAAUUGGCAGCCGGCCUACUGGUUUCGGAGCGCAGCACAAGUCGCACUCUCUAUCAGCAAAGGUCUAGCAUCCAUUAAGCCUUUUUUUCAACUUUUGACCUCGGAUCAGGUAGGGAUACCCGCUGAACUUAAGCAUAUCA